rnacentral:rRNA from 1 species
UACAGAGGAGCCAAGCGUUGUCCGGAUUGACUGGGCGUAAAGCGCACGCAGGCGGACGCGCGCGUGGGGUGUGAAAUCUGGCCGCUUAACGGCCAGGCGCCAUCCCAUACGGCGUGUCUGGAGUGAUGCAGAGGUCGAUGGAAUUGCCGGUGUAGUGGUGAAAUGCGUAGAGAUCGGCAGGAACACCCAGGGGGAAACCAAUCGACUGGGCAUCUACUGACGCUGAGGUGCGAGAGCGUGGGGAGCGAACCGG